rnacentral:lncRNA from 1 species
CUAGAAUUUUUUAUUAUUAUUUUCUCUUAUAAUCUUUGCUCGUUGUUUUCUUACUUUACAAUCUUUAGGAUCUUUUAUCAAGAAACUCCGACACUAAGAGAUAAAGAGUUCAAUGAUUUGCUUCUUGAUUUGUAAAGAGGAGUUGCCUCUAUUUAUAUCUAGAAUGGUUAAAUAUUGCUUCCUAAGACAACUAAUCUUCCUAUUUCUCUGUUUUCUAAACAAAUAUUAAUAUAUUCGUUAAAACUUUCUAAUGAACAAGUAAAGCAGUGUAAUCUAAAGGCAUAAAAUAUUAGAACUAUAAAAUGAUAUGUUUGUAAUAGCCUUUGAGUACUUUACCGUUUAGCAAAUUAAUUUUUUCUGGCCAUUUUUUUUUAACUCUUUCUUAGCUUUUUUCUUAACUUUUUAAAGAAGGUUUAAGACUGUAGCCAAAAAGAUUUUCAUCAUAUUUAAAAUACUUUAACAAACUCCCACAAUUGAGACACAAAUUAGCCAACUUAACUCAGAGAAUUAACU